UACGUAGGGGGCAAGCGUUGUCCGGAAUUAUUGGGCGUAAAGAGCGCGUAGGCGGUCCGAUAAGUCGGCUGUGAAAGUCAGGGGCUCAACCCCUUGAAAAGCCGGCCGAUACUGUCGGACUAGAGUCCGGAAGAGGCAAGUGGAAUUCCCGGUGUAGCGGUGAAAUGCGCAGAUAUCGGGAGGAACACCGAUGGCGAAGGCAGAUCUCUGGGCCGUAACUGACGCUGAGGAGCGAAAGCAUGGGGAGCGAACAGG
rnacentral:rRNA from 1 species